GAUGAACGCUGGCGUCGUGCCUAAUACAUGCAAGUCGAGCGAACGGACGAGAAGCUUGCUUUUCUGAUGUUAGCGGCGGACGGGUGAGUAACACGUGGAUAACCUACCUAUAAGACUGGGAUAACUUCGGGAAACCGGAGCUAAUACCGGAUAAUAUUUUGAACCGCAUGGUUCAAAAGUGAGAGACGGUCUUGCUGUCACUUAUAGAUGGAUCCGCGCUGCAUUAGCUAGUUGGUAAGGUAACGGCUUACCAAGGCAACGAUGCAUAGCCGACCUGAGAGGGUGAUCGGCCACACUGGAACUGAGACACGGUCCAGACUCCUACGGGAGGCAGCAGUAGGGAAUCUUCCGCAAUGGGCGAAAGCCUGACGGAGCAACGCCGCGUGAGUGAUGAAGGUCUUCGGAUCGUAAAACUCUGUUAUUAGGGAAGAACAUAUGUGUAAGUAACUGUGCACAUCUUGACGGUACCUAAUCAGAAAGCCACGGCUAACUACGUG
rnacentral:rRNA from 1 species